rnacentral:rRNA from 1 species
UACGUAGGCAGCAAGCGUUGUUCGGAAUUACUGGGCGUAAAGAGUGUGUAGGCGGUGUUCUAAGUUUGUCGUGAAAUCUCCCGGCUUAACUGGGAGGGUGCGGCGAAAACUGGAAUGCUAGAGGAUGGGAGAGGUAAGCGGAAUUCCUGGUGUAGCGGUGAAAUGCGUAGAUAUCGGGAGGAACACCUGUGGCGAAAGCGGCGCACUGGACCACAACUGACGCUGAGGCGCGAAAGCUAGGGGAGCAAACAGG